AACAUGUCGUCUGCUCACACGAUGGAUUUAACAUCAAAAUGUUUUCAUCACAAAAGACCGGAAUCCUUGAAGUAACCUUGCUGUUUACAUCGUAAGACACGGUUAAUUUCCUUACCAACCACACCAUCAGCUUGCAAGAAGUCCUCAGCAGAUGAAAGUUGUGAUUACACGCUCCACUUCAGGAAAUUACCGCAAAUACUGGUUCAUUAAGAUGGUGAGGAGCAGCAGUUUCUUCACAAGAGAUGCACCAGGGCUUUGAUGAGAACACUUAGAUUGCAGCU